GGUGUCCACGUGCCGCCCUCUCGACCAGCCACUGGUGGGGACUUCAGGUCUGGCACCCCCCGCGGUCUCAUCUUCCAGGUGGGACGCCCGGGAAGGCAAAAGAAGAGGAAGGGACCCCGCGCAGACCGGUUGAGGAGUUUGGACAAGCUAUUUGCAAGUUAAUUAGAAGGAAAAAUUUCUAUCCCCACAAUGAAAAUGAGAAGCUAUAAAUUAAGAUUAACCUCCAGCCAUCUGCCAAGGUAGACCCUCACCCUGAGAACCUACGGCUACAUCUAGAAAAUUUUAAGAGCUCUUCCUGGCUACAGUCAAUUCAUCCAGAGUCAUCUCGGCUGCUGAAUCUGGGGUACCACUUGGGACCCCAUGUCAGAAAAGAGGAGACACAGAAUAGAUGAAACUCAGCAGCUUCUCUCUCUGCACGCUGUGUGACAUCUGUCAGCAUCUCCCAGCCUCUCUGUUCUCUUCCAACAUUUAUAAAUUCAGUCCACAGUCAUGGAGAGCCUGCUAAGUGCUAUCGAUGAACAAAAGAGGUGGCCGUCUCUGCCGAAGCUGAUACUCCACUAUAGGAAACCAACGGAAAUAAACAGGCCGAUGACACCAAUGUGGGAGAUGGAUGUUUGGGAUCCAUGGCUCCUGUGGGCUCCUGGAGGACAACGAUCUGGCUUUGCUUUCUCUUUCCCGAACUCUCAGACAGAUUUUUUUUUUUUAAAACCACCGAGGGACCCAGCCUCCAGGAAGCUCUCAGCACGUCAGAGAAACUGGAGAGGAGAUGUGGAUAGGUGAACUACCAGAACAGAUGUGCAGAGACACAUGGGAACUUUAUCUGAGGGCCAAAGCUUAAUUCCUCAUUUUAUUUCCCUCUCUGCUGGUUGUUCUUCCUAUUCUGUUCUUUCUCCGUUUGUUCUUUCACCCAGAUGUUCUUCUUCUUCUUCCCAGUUGUUUCUCUUCUAUCCAUCCCUGAUGUUUUCCCCUCCCUUUCCCUUCUCCUAGCUCUGGCUCUCAUCUUAUCCCUUUUAUACCUCCUAAUACAAGGACUUCUACGCAAGAAAAGAUUACCUCACAACCAUAAGUUACUAUUUUCCAAGAACAAAUUAAAAUCUUUACAUAGGAAGAAAUCACAUGAAGGUCACAAGUUACAUGUUUUCCUUAGAAGCCCACAAGUAGUUAAACAUUUUUCUUUGUAUUCAUUUUCCCACCAUAACAUCUUCUCCUCAAAGCAAUGAUUUUUUUAUUACUGAUUCACAAAGUUUUAAGCAAGCUACGUGUAUUUUAGCUAGUUCCCUUUGUACUGGCAGCCGAUGCUUGUGGCUUCAGGGUAGCAGAUUCCUAUCCUAUAAAAAACUUUCAACAA